rnacentral:rRNA from 1 species
GACGAACGCUGGCGGCGUGCUUAACACAUGCAAGUCGAACGGUGAACCCCGUCGUAGGGGAUCAGUGGCGAACGGGUGAGUAACACGUGCGCAACCUGCCCCCGGCUCUGGGAUAACUCCAAGAUAUUGGGGCUAAUACCGUAUGGUCACCGCUUCCCUCAUGUGUGGUUGUGGCAGGGGUUUCCGGCUUGGGUUGGGCCCGCGGCCCAUCAGCUUGUCGGGGUGGUAGUGGCCUACCAAGGCGACGACGGGUAGCCUGCCUGAGAGGGUGACCGGACACACUGGGACUGAGCUGCGGCACAGCCUACACCCGGAGGCGACGGUGCGGAAGAGUGCGCAAGGGGCGGAGGCAUGACCUAGCGAAGCAGCGUGGCGGAAGACAGCAAUGGGUUUGUAUUCCUAUUUCCGCAGGCACGAGACGCAAGUGACGGUACCUGCAGAAGAAGCUCCGGCCAACUACGUG